rnacentral:rRNA from 1 species
CGGGACACGUGGUAUCCUGUCUGAAUAUGGGGGGACCAUCCUCCAAGGCUAAAUACUCCUGACUGACCGAUAGUGAACCAGUACCGUGAGGGAAAGGCGAAAAGAACCCCGGCGAGGGGAGUGAAAAAGAACCUGAAACCGUGUACGUACAAGCAGUGGGAGCACAGAGCAAUCUGUGUGACUGCGUACCUUUUGUAUAAUGGGUCAGCGACUUAUAUUCUGUAGCAAGGUUAACCGAAUAGGGGAGCCGAAGGGAAACCGAGUCUUAACUGGGCGUUAAGUUGCAGGGUAUAGACCCGAAACCCGGUGAUCUAGCCAUGGGCAGGUUGAAGGUUGGGUAACACUAACUGGAGGACCGAACCGACUAAUGUUGAAAAAUUAGCGGAUGACUUGUGGCUGGGGGUGAAAGGCCAAUCAAACCGGGAGAUAGCUGGUUCUCCCCGAAAGCUAUUUAGGUAGCGCCUCGUGAAUUCAUCUCCGGGGGUAGAGCACUGUUUCGGCAAGGGGGUCAUCCCGACUUACCAACCCGAUGCAAACUGCGAAUACCGGAGAAUGUUAUCACGGGAGACACACGGCGGGUGCUAACGUCCGUCGUGAAGAGGGAAACAACCCAGACCGCCAGCUAAGGUCCCAAAGUCAUGGUUAAGUGGGAAACGAUGUGGGAAGGCCCAGACAGCCAGGAUGUUGGCUUAGAAGCAGCCAUCAUUUAAAGAAAGCGUAAUAGCUCACUGGUCGAGUCGGCCUGCGCGGAAGAUGUAACGGGGCUAAACCAUGCACCGAAGCUGCGGCAGCGACGCUUAUGCGUUGUUGGGUAGGGGAGCGUUCUGUAAGCCUGCGAAGGUGUGCUGUGAGGCAUGCUGGAGGUAUCAGAAGUGCGAAUGCUGACAUAAGUAACGAUAAAGCGGGUGAAAAGCCCGCUCGCCGGAAGACCAAGGGUUCCUGUCCAACGUUAAUCGGGGCAGGGUGAGUCGACCCCUAAGGCGAGGCCGAAAGGCGUAGUCGAUGGGAAACAGGUUAAUAUUCCUGUACUUGGUGUUACUGCGAAGGGGGGACGGAGAAGGCUAUGUUGGCCGGGCGACGGUUGUCCCGGUUUAAGCGUGUAGGCUGGUUUUCCAGGCAAAUCCGGAAAAUCAAGGCUGAGGCGUGAUGACGAGGCACUACGGUGCUGAAGCAACAAAUGCCCUGCUUCCAGGAAAAGCCUCUAAGCAUCAGGUAACAUCAAAUCGUACCCCAAACCGACACAGGUGGUCAGGUAGAGAAUACCAAGGCGCUUGAGAGAACUCGGGUGAAGGAACUAGGCAAAAUGGUGCCGUAACUUCGGGAGAAGGCACGCUGAUAUGUAGGUGAAGUCCCUCGCGGAUGGAGCUGAAAUCAGUCGAAGAUACCAGCUGGCUGCAACUGUUUAUUAAAAACACAGCACUGUGCAAACACGAAAGUGGACGUAUACGGUGUGACGCCUGCCCGGUGC